UCUAUGGCCAUGCUACCCUGAAUGUGCCCAAUCUCAUCUGAUCUCAGAAGCUUAGCACAGUUGGUCCAGGUUAGUACUUAGUACUCGGAUGGGAGAAAAGGCUUCUAUUAGAG
ensembl:rRNA 5S_rRNA 5S ribosomal RNA